GUCGCUUUGUCCGAGUGGUUAAGGAGAUGGCCUGCUAAGCCAUUGGGCUCUGCCCGCGUGAGUUCGAAUCUCAUAGGCGACG
rfam:Absidia glauca strain CBS 101.48 genome assembly, contig: contig_4948